rnacentral:lncRNA from 1 species
GCAUGACAUGAAAACUUGAUAUGCAUCUAAAGUAUAUUAUAUGACUUAUAUGACUUAACUUAUAUGUCAAUCCAUGAAGGAUUUAAGUUGUUUGAUACAUAUACAAUUCUUGAUCUUGAAGUACCGCUUCCUCGGUGCAAUUUAUGCACAUUUGUAUAUUUUAUAACUAUAAGCAUGAUAAUGUGAUAGAGAGGAUACCUUUAUGGAGAUAUUGAAGAGCCAUUCCACGAUAUUUGUGAAGACAUUAUAUAGCUAUCACGAGUUAUAAUAUGGAUCACCCCACACAAUAUCCGGUAAUCACUCCUAAGUAAGGGGCUAAACGUGAUGUUAUCGCGUGCUCAUCAUAUCCAUAUCUAGCAUUUUCACCCGUUAAGAUACUAAAGAGCAGAACGGUCUUGUUUACUUAUUGCAUGCUAUUACUCGUCCCAAUCCUAUCAGUUUCGGAGGCAUUUAGGACUACUAAUCCUAAGACGGAGGGAGAUUAGGCUUAUUUGUAGUUUCAAAAAGGCAAAAUUCUAAGGCAACAUACAAAACAUGUAUAGCAAGUUGGGGGUAAGCAUAUAACAAGCAACAUGCUCAAAUAUACCUCAUUUCAACAGAGAAAGCAAGUAUUUAGCAUGAUUUAAACAUACAGGUUUAGGGUCUGAUUAAAGCUUAAAGGUUGGGGUAGGCUGAUUUAUUACAUAAUUCAGAUAAGCCUGAAUCAGGCCUGCCUGCUGGUUGUAGUUAAUAAAAACUGAUUCAUCUUAUUAUUUUACCCUUAGGCUUGCCUAAGUGUUGGACGAGGAUCGUAUAGGCAUGAUAUCUACUGAUAUCAGAAAACCAUAAAAUAAACGGAAUGCGUACUGGAUAAGAAAGAUUGCCAAAUUAUUAAAGAAAGGCACGUUUUAGCAAAAAGAUUAUAAGUUCUGCAAAUGAUAGCACAUCGAUAUUACUGGUUUUAGCCUUAUACAUAGAUGAAGCGAUUCAGAUUUGAUUAAUAGUUCCUAUAGAGAUGAUUUAUAUGUGUUGUUGAUUUUAAACCCUUUUAUAGACAUGCGAGAAUGCAGAAACCCUUAUAGACAUGAUAUCUAGGUGUUGAGUUUUAUUUAAGGCCUAUGAACAUGAUAUGUAAUUGCAGUUGAUUGAUUAAGACAUGUAGACAUGAUUUCCUGAUAAAGAAUGGAUAUACAAGAUUCAGAAAGACCUAUAGGCAUAUUUUCUAUAUGCAUAUGCAGAGUUCUAAUUUCCAGAUACUCAUGGACAUGAUUUUUAUAUGAGAGAAUGCAGAAUACCAGGCAUAGUAUAUAUAUGAGAAAUGCAGAAUUUCAGAAAUACCUAUAGGCAGGAUAUCUAUGUGAGAAUGCAGAAUUUUAGAAAUACCUAUAGGCAGGAUAUCUGCCCUUUUUGCACACACAGUUACCCUCCUUUUUUCACUAGCCAUCCCCAAGAGUUCAUUACAAAUUAUUACAGCCCAGAAUAAAGUAAAAAAACAUCAUAAAUUAAAAGUGCAACCAAUGCAAGCCUGAUUCAGACUUCCUGUCUGAAAUAUGAAGUAAACCAACUCCAAGAGAUCAUGAUACAAAGUCUUUCUCUCAUUUGGAUGUGUCAAAGUUCCCUAAGAGCCUCGAAAAGGACUCCGGGCAAUGCUCACAACCAAUUGCAUUAUCAGAUUAGGACAAGUACAUUGUGGAAAGGACAACCCUCAAGUGUCCAAGUUCAGGGGAAUUCAAGGUCCCAAGGCAAGGCUCACAAGAGGGGGACAGAACUUAAGGGAUAAGAGAGGGUGCAAGUACAGAAACAAAAUUCUGAGAGGGGCAAAAGGAAAGGGAAACAACUCAAAUAAGUACACAUAGGGGUAUAGGGAAAUGAGGGAAUUAUAGAGAGGCAAAGGCAAGCUUGUGGGCAUACCCAGCAAUGGGGAAUGCUGGCACAUCCAUAAGCCUGUUAGAACACUAUUAGAGGCUAGGAUCCCAAGGGACCAGAUUUGAUUUGUUUGCAAAAAGUUACAUAUUGCCAUGCUCCAAACCAUAGCUUAAACAUAUAGGGGGUCGGGGUUUGUGAUUCAUAGCAGAACAAGCAGAAAGAGGUCAGCAUACUAAGAUAGAUGUUUGAAUUAUACAUAAACAGUAAGUAGACAUAGGCAUAAAGAAAUGACUAAACACAUUGUUAUGAUGCUAAAGCUUAAAUCAGGACAUACCAGUUUCAAAUAAACAAAUAGAGAAAAGUAGUAGGUCUUGUAGACAGCCCAUAAUGCAGACAAAAAGAGAGAAUACUAUUGUGUUGUGUAAGUGUGAGUUCAGAAAGACUGUGAAUAUGAGUUCGAAUGAGUUUUUAUGUUUGUGAAAGAGUCGUGCCUUUAUAGUGUAGAAAUCAGGAAAAAAUUAAGGUAAAAAAAUCGUUAAGGGACUGAUUAUCAAUUAAGAAUCAAUCACACAGGACUUCCUUUAAUUAAGGAAUUUAGAUUCAAACGGGAAAAAUUUUUAAGGGAAGAAGUCAAAUAAACAUCUUGUGUAAAGCAUAAUUAGGUGCAAAUACAUAAAAAGUUAUUUAAGGAUACAAUUUUGAAAUAUACAGUUGUACAAAUAAGGUAAGAAAAUUAAUUAGUAGCCAAUAAAUCAAAGUUCAGGGAUCUUGUAAUUACCGGUCCAUGAGUGAACCAAGUCAUAAAAGCUGAGAAAGGUUUUAACUUGAGUCGUAUCACAGGGAAAUCAACAAACAAGGAAAGAAAUCAACCAGGCCUAUUCAGAAGGAGGUCUGAACUAAUCACAAAUUUGAAAGCUAUUUUAGAGGAAAGUUCCUCACAUAUAAAGAGCAUACAAACAUCAAGCAUGCGAGAAGGGAUUAAGUGAAAGGUCUUAUAGAGUUUGGGAAAAGUCAGAGUCAUGUGAAGAAGCAAAAUUGAAAUCAUGAUUCAGAAACUUAAUGAAGCAGUAGAUGAAACAACUCCACGAACUCAAAUAGGUCCAAAAAUUAGGGUUUUUGAAGUCAGGCAAGUUCAGAGAAGAAGAGUCAGCAAAUCACAUAGCCAGGGGUCUCAAAACUCGGAUAAACCCCCCAAAUUUAGGGUUCUUGCCAUUAAUCGAGUGCAGAGACGAAAGUGAAAGUGAUUAGGGUAAAAAAAUACUACUUGAAACAGGUUUAGAGGUCUCAGAAAGGAAAUAAGACUAUUGACAUGUCUUUUAGUAGCAGAAACCCAUGAAUAGAAUAGUAAAAGAACAACAUGUGAGAUACACUAAAGAAACUCAAAGGAACAUAGUAGAGGAACUGGUAAGAAGCAUAAUGGAAAAAAUUAAUAAGAAUUGUAGGAGAAGCACAUUAAGAAGCAUCUUAGAAGAAACUUAACUAGAACAGAGUAGAGGAAACUUAAUAAGAAACACACACAAGAACAUAGUAGAGAAAAACACAAUAGAAGAAACACACAAGAACAUAGUAGAAGAAAUACACACGAACACAGUAGAAAAAAAUCAAAGAAACAUCUAAAUAUCUCAGAAAAACCCUAGAUUGGAAAAAGAAAUGGUUUUGAAAGUAGUUUUUGAAAGAAGACCCAUAAAAUCAUUUUAAAACUUAGGGAAAGCAUAGAUCUGGAACAGAUCUAAAGAGAUCAGAAAACCCCCGAAGCUAGGGUUUUCAGAGAAACCCAUAUGGUGAGAAAGGCUUGAAAAGUCAUUGAUAUGAGUAGGGAGGUCGAGGUCAAGCUCGAACAACCAUGAUUUGCUGGAGCAAGGCCGGAGACGGCCGUCGAACUUGAAUCAAACGAAGCCUGGGCCCAUCUUCUUCGUGGUUUGGCCUUAAAUCUUUAGAAACCAAGCGUGUAGGAGUUACAUGAGGCCGAUGUAGGACUCAAAUGGCCUUGGAAGCCAUGUAUUCCGGUGGCUUUAGGGUGGAAACAGAGACGGCGGCUAGGAUUUCUGAGAGUGAUUGAGAGAGAGUUGAGAGAACGGGGGAAUCUAGAGGCGGCUAUAGGUGACAAAUGAUUA